ensembl:lncRNA
AAUAAAUAUACACUAAGUAAACAAAGUGUUUUCCACACUUUAAUUCGUAGCUUUUAUUUAUUAGAUUUUUUUUCCUACAUUUUAAUUUUAUCCAACAUGAUUUAGACUAAACACAGUACGAUUUCUGUGGUCAUUUAAGGAAUUCCUGGCCAAAGAUUUCUUUUACGAUGUGCAGUUUUGUUUAUUUGUUUAUCUGUCGAGGCCAUAUGAAUCGGCCACUUGGUUUUCCGGGAUGGGGAUAAAAUUGUCCCGACGGAGAAGCAGUCACCGAAUCAGGGGUCACAUGAGCCGUCAUUUUCUUUACAAGCUAAGCUAUCUGCUUAACCUCGCAUUAACCGAAAUAUCUCGCUAGCAACCCUGAAACCAAGCAACACUCGCUAACAGCUAGUCAGCAUCCGUUCCGGAAGCUUCAGCUCAGCCAAACAAUAGCUACGUGUAAAUUCAUCAGAGUUAGAGCUAGCUUUAGAACAUUCGCUAACUUAGCACAUUGUUGUUCAGUCCUGUCUCAUUUGAUAUUUAUUGUUUUUUGGACGCUUCGUUUUGGCGGUGAUCUCUUACGUACCUGCACACGCCUCGUCUCGGGUCUCGCUCAGGACUAAACGAGCCACUGAGCUUCAAAUCAGAUGCUUUUUUGGGACAUGACCGAAUUUAGUGAGAUGGAAACAACCAGCCCUGAGGAGAACAAGAGAGAGAGAGAGAGAAAGUGUGUGUGUGUGUGUGUGUGUGUGUUGUGGGUUUCUUCUUCCUGCUGUUCACAACACUAUUUUUAAUUAUUUAUACGCACAGAAACACAGAUCACAGCUGGACAGCAUCACGGCUGCAGUCCAGAGGCAAGGCUUCAUCUGAUCCGCAGACAGACAGAGAGACAGAUACAGAGAGAGAGAGAGCAAGAAAGAGAGCAAGCAAGACAGAGAGACAGAUAAACAGACCGAGAAAGAGAGAGACAGACAGAAAGACAGAGACAAAAAGACGCAGAGACAGACAGACAGAGAGAAAGACAGAGACAAAAAGACACACAGACAGAGAGAGACACAGAAAGUGAGACAGACAGAGAGACAAAUAGAGAGAAAAAACAGACAGAAAGACAGGCAGUGAGACAGACAGACAGACAGACAGAAAGAGUGUAAGACAGACAGAAAGAGAGAAAGACCAAGACGAACAGACAGUGAGACAGAUGCAGAGAGACACAGACAGAGAAACAAACAGACAGAAACAAACAGACAGAGAGGGAGACAGACAGUGAGACAGAGAGGGAGACAGACAGACAGAGAGGGAGAGAGACA